rnacentral:rRNA from 1 species
CGCGUAGGCGGAUCUUUAAGUCAGGGGUGAAAUCCUGGGGCUCAACCUCAGAACUGCCCUUGAUACUGGAGAUCUUGAGUCCGGAAGAGGUUAGUGGAAUUCCCAGUGUAGAGGUGAAAUUCGUAGAUAUUGGGAAGAACACCAGUGGCGAAGGCGGCUAACUGGUCCGGUACUGACGCUGAGGUGCGAAAGCGUGGGGAGCAAACA